GACGAACGCUGGCGGCGUGCUUAACACAUGCAAGUCGAACGGUAAGGCCCUUCGGGGUACACGAGUGGCGAACGGGUGAGUAACACGUGGGUGAUCUGCCCUGCACUUCGGGAUAAGCCUGGGAAACUGGGUCUAAUACCGGAUAGGACCACUGCCUGCAUGGGUGGUGGGGGAAAGCUUUUGAGGUGUGGGAUGGGCCCGCGGCCUAUAAGCUUGUUGGUGGGGUGAUGGCCUACCAAGGCGACGACGGGUAGCCGGCCUGAGAGGGUGACCGGCCACACUGGGACUGAGAUACGGCCCAGACUCCUACGGGAGGCAGCAGUGGGGAAUAUUGCACAAUGGGCGCAAGCCUGAUGCAGCGACGCCGCGUGAGGGAUGACGGCCUUCGGGUUGUAAACCUCUUUCAGCACCGACGAAGCGCAAGUGACGGUAGGUGCAGAAGAAGGACCGGCCAACUACGUGCCAGCCGCCGCCGUAA
rnacentral:rRNA from 1 species